GCGAAAGUGGCGGAAUUGGCAGACGCGCGGGAUUUAGGAUCCCGUGGCCUUAGGCCGUGGGGGUUCGAGUCCCCCCUUUCGCAC
rnacentral:tRNA from 2 species